GCUGGCGGCAGGCCUAAUACAUGCAAGUCGAGCGCGCCCUUCGGGGUGAGCGGCGGACGGGUGAGUAACGCGUGGGAAUAUGCCCUUCUCUAAGGAAUAGCCUCUGGAAACGGAGAGUAAUACCUUAUACGCCCUUUGGGGGAAAGAUUUAUCGGAGAAGGAUUAGCCCGCGUUAGAUUAGGUAGUUGGUGGGGUAAUGGCCUACCAAGCCUACGAUCUAUAGCUGGUUUGAGAGGAUGAUCAGCCACACUGGGACUGAGACACGGCCCAGACUCCUACGGGAGGCAGCAGUAGGGAAUCUUAGACAAUGGGGGCAACCCUGAUCUAGCCAUGCCGCGUGUGUGAUGAAGGCCCUAGGGUCGUAAAGCACUUUCGCCAGAGAUGAUAAUGACAGUAUCUGGUAAAGAAACCCCGGCUAACUCCGUGCCAGCAGCCGCGGUAAUACGGAGGGGGUUAGCGUUGUUCGGAAUUACUGGGCGUAAAGCGCACGUAGGCGGAUUAGUAAGUUAGAGGUGAAAUCCCAGGGCUCAACCCUGGAACUGCCUUUAAUACUGCUAGUCUUGAGUUCGAGAGAGGUAAGUGGAAUUCCGAGUGUAGAGGUGAAAUUCGUAGAUAUUCGGAGGAACACCAGUGGCGAAGGCGGCUUACUGGCUCGAUACUGACGCUGAGGUGC
rnacentral:rRNA from 1 species